UACGGGGGGGGCAAGCGUUGUUCGGAAUUACUGGGCGUAAAGGGUUCGUAGGUGGCUCGCUAAGUCAGACGUGAAAUCCCUCAGCUUAACUGGGGAACUGCGUCUGAGACUGGCAAGCUCGAGUGCAGGAGAGGAACGCGGAAUUCCAGGUGUAGCGGUGAAAUGCGUAGAUAUCUGGAGGAACACCGGUGGCGAAGGCGGCGUUCUGGACUGCAACUGACACUGAUGAACGAAAGCCAGGGGAGCAAACGGG
rnacentral:rRNA from 1 species